rnacentral:rRNA from 1 species
AGAUUGAACGCUGGCGGCAUGCCUAACACAUGCAAGUCGAACGGGUUGUACUUCGGUACAGCUAGUGGCGGACGGGUGAGUAACACAUAGGAAUCUGCCCGAGAGUGGGGGAUAACCCAGGGAAACUUGGAUUAAUACCGCAUGAUCUCUACGGAGCAAAGCUGGGGACCUUCGGGCCUGGCGCUUUUGGAGGAGCCUAUGUCUGAUUAGCUUGUUGGUGAGGUAACGGCUCACCAAGGCGACGAUCAGUAACUGGUCUGAGAGGACGACCAGUCACACCGGAACUGAGACACGGUCCGGACUCCUACGGGAGCAGCAGUGGGAAUAGUGGACAAGUGGGCGAAAGCCUGAUCCAGCAAUGCCGCGUGUGUGAAGAAGGCCGUUGGGUUGUAAAGCGACUUUAGGAAGUAGGAAAAGAAAAAACUUACAAGUUAAUAGACUAGUAAGUUCGUUAGACGGUACCA